rnacentral:rRNA from 1 species
UGGGGAAUAUUGGACAAUGGGGGAAACCCUGAUCCAGCGACGCCGCGUGAGUGAAGAAGUAUUUCGGUAUGUAAAGCUCUAUCAGCAGGAAAGAAAAUGACGGUACCUGACUAAGAAGCCCCGGCUAACUACGUGCCAGCAGCCGCGGUAAUACGUAGGGGGCAAGCGUUAUCCGGAUUUACUGGGUGUAAAGGGAGUGCAGGCGGGACAGCAAGUUGGAUGUGAAAUACCGAGGCUUAACCACGGAGCUGCAUCCAAAACUGUUGUUCUUGAGUGAAGUAGAGGUAGGCGGAAUUCCGAGUGUAGCGGUGAAAUGCGUAGAUAUUCGGAGGAACACCAGUGGCGAAGGCGGCUUGCUGGGCUCUAACUGACGCUGAGGCUCGAAAGUGUGGGGAGCAAACAGGAUUAGAUACCCUGGUAGU